UUAAAGAGGCGAAGGGUCACUGGGGCGGCGUUACACUCUCCGCGGCAAUCGGCAUCCCUCUCCCCUUCCCCCUUGUCGCAUUUUUUCAAACUACGAGAAGGCACCGAAUAAGAAGCGCGAGGCAGAGAGAGAGAAAUGGUCCAUGUCCGCGUCAAGCAACCUAUGGGUUCUUCUCGGGCUGGGCCUCGCCGGUAUCGUCGUCAAGACCCGGCGGCUGAAGCGUGCCAUCAAGCAGGAUUUCGGGCGUUUCGUCGAGCCGUUCGAGCUCCUGCCUCCCAAGGCCCCCCGAUCCCUUGACCGGCCUCUCCUUCGCCAUCGCCGACAUGUAACCUUAUCCGUCCUUGAUAGAAUCCUCUUUUCCCUCGCGUUUUAAUCUUUGGGCUAUUGAUCAUUUCACUGAUUAACAGAUUCGAUAUCAAAAGAUGUGUAACUGGGUUUGGCAAUCCAGACUGGGCAAAAACUCAUGAACCUGCAGCACGAACAUCUUCAGUGGUUUCAGCUCUCAUAGAUGGGGUUGCUACUUGUGUUGGAAGAACAAUCAUUUGAUGAGAUGGCUUAUAGUAUCAGUAGUGAAAAUGAACAUUUUGGUACACCAACAAAUCCUGCAGCUCUUGAGCCAAUACCUGAAGGAUGUUCAAGUGGAUCAGCUGGAGCUGUCGCUAGCGGUGUAGUUGAGUUCCUCUUGUAGUCUUGUUUACCUUCAAACUGAAGCUGAUUGCGGCACUGCCAUAAGCCUUGAUAAAAAGAUUUCAAAUAUGCACUCAUUUUGGAACCAACCAACAAGACGGCAAUCCUUGCUACUAGUAGAUUAAAGAAGUUAUUCCAGUAGAUACCACACCAGUAAUUUCCAGAAGGUGCAAAUCACCUGUAAAAAGUUUGAUCAGAAUUGACACAUACAGGUAAAUUUAGAGACGUUGGGGCAGCACCUCAGUGGAGCACUGACCACAGGAUUUUGCAGGCAUCUGGAUUGCUCAUCUAUUCCAGCAAGUGCUCCACUUUUUUACAGAAUCAAUGGCUCUUAAUAUUGCCCGUGUUAUUGAAGAUAGGUUUAUUCCAGUUUUGUUACACUGCUUAUAUCAAAUGGCAGAUGUUAGUUUCAAAUUUACCAUAUGCUCUUGGUAUGUUCUUCACUAUUUUUUAAACUUGUACUAUGAGAUCAUCAUUUGUUGCAGCAGCGGGGAGUGGUAUUUUUGAAUAAAAUCACAUAGUUUGUGAUGGCUUUCC